rnacentral:rRNA from 1 species
CCGAAAGGCGUAGGUGAUGGACAACAGGUUGAUAUUCCUGUACUACCGAUAACCGUUUGAGAGAUGGGAUGACACAGUAGGAUAAGCUAAGCACACUGUUGGUUAUGUGUGCCCAAGCAUUGAGGCAGUCAAAGUAGGUAAAUCCGCUUUGAUAAUGCUGGGAUGUGAUGGGGAGCGAAAUUUAGUAGCGAAGUAGCUGAUUUCACACUGUCAAGAAAAGUCUCUAUCGAGGUUAAAGG